rnacentral:rRNA from 1 species
GACGAACGCUGGCGGCGUGCUUAACACAUGCAAGUCGAACGGAAAGGCCCUGCUUUUGUGGGGUGCUCGAGUGGCGAACGGGUGAGUAACACGUGAGUAACCUGCCCUUGACUUUGGGAUAACUUCAGGAAACUGGGGCUAAUACCGGAUAGGAGCUCCUGCUGCAUGGUGGGGGUUGGAAAGUUUCGGCGGGUGGGGAUGGACUCGCGGCUUAUCAGCUUGUUGGUGGGGUAGUGGCUUACCAAGGCUUUGACGGGUAGCCGGCCUGAGAGGGUGACCGGCCACAUUGGGACUGCGGUACGGCCCAGUCUCCUACGGGAGGCAGCAGUGGGGAAUAUUGCACAAUGGGCGGAAGCCUGAUGCAGCAACGCCGCGUGCGGGAUGACGGCCUUCGGGUUGUAAACCGCUUUCGCCUGUGACGAAGCGUGAGUGACGGUAAUGGGUAAAGAAGCACCGGCUAACUACGUG